rnacentral:rRNA from 1 species
UACAGAGGUGGCAAGCGUUGUUCGGAAUUACUGGGCGUAAAGGGCGCGUAGGCGGCUUGGUCAGUCCCGUGUGAAAUCCCUCGGCUCAACUGAGGAACUGCACGGGAAACUGCCUGGCUUGAGUUCGGGAGAGGGAAGCGGAAUUCCGGGUGUAGCGGUGAAAUGCGUAGAUAUCCGGAGGAACACCGGUGGCGAAGGCGGCUUCCUGGGCUGACACUGACGCUGAUGCGCGAAAGCCAGGGGAGCGAACGGG